AAGCACUUUACAGAGAAGGUCGGAAACAGGAGAGAAGUGGCUUGCCCAUGGUACCCCAGGAAAUUAGUGUCAGAGGGGAAAACUGAACACAAUUCUCUGGAGUCUUACACUAGUGCCUUAUCCACUAGGCUAUACUGCCACCCUAAGUUAGGAAAUUCAGAUGUGAACUUGAACCCCUGAUCUACUGCAGGUACAGAGAAAGGGCCUGAAAUACGUGUUGGCUGGGCUCUGUUUGACUAGCCAGGUGCUGCAGGGAAACUGGAGGAAGAAAAGAUUCCCAGGACCUGUAUGCAGAGCCACGUGUGGAACAAGCUGUGACUGGCAGAUAUUGCAGCUGGAUGCUGGUCUGUGUGAGACUUAUGGGGAACAGCAGCCAGUGCAUAGAGGCCCCAGUAAGAGACACUAACUGAGCCUGGCCUGGAAACCUGCAGGUGCCUAUUUGCUUGGAAUAGAAAUUUAACUGUGAAUUCAUCCUAGGCAAUAGCCUUGAAGAGCUCCGACUCUGUUGGA